UGAACGGCUGACGACGGCCUCUAUUCUGUCCAGACGAGCCUCGGCUCUACUGAUAACCAACCCCAAACCUGUCUUCUUUUGCCGCAAUGUCUAUCAUCCUUCCCCAACAUGGGGCUUCUCCACUCUUCACCACCUCAGCGGCCUGUUUGUAAGAAGAAAUGGACGGCUUCUUCUCUUCCUUGGCAAAAAUGGCAUUCUCCACCU
rnacentral:lncRNA from 1 species